rnacentral:rRNA from 1 species
CCCUAUGUUGUCAAACCACGUUGCCUCGGGGGUGACCCGGCCUCGGUCGGCGCCCCCGGUGGACCACUCAACUCUGCAUCUGAGCGUCUGAGUCAAUUUGUUAAUCAAAUUAAAACUUUCAACAACGGAUCUCUUGGUUCUGGCAUCGAUGAAGAACGCAGCGAAAUGCGAUAAGUAAUGUGAAUUGCAGAAUUCAGUGAAUCAUCGAAUCUUUGAACGCACAUUGCGCCCUCUGGUAUUCCGGAGGGCAUGCCUGUUCGAGCGUCAUAAGACCACUCAAGCCCAGCUUGGUGUUGGGACGCGCCCCGGCGCUCCUCAAAAUCAGUGGCGGCUCGGCUCAGCUUCAUGCGUAGUAAAAUGUCUCGCUAUGGACGCUGGGCUGGCGCCUGCCAGAAGCCUAAUUUUUACAGGUUGACCUCGGAUCAGGUAGG